rnacentral:rRNA from 1 species
CCCUUAGAUGUUCUGGGCUGCACGCGCGCUACACUGAUACCUUCAGCGAGUCCACCACCUUGCCUGGGAGGGUGGGGUAACCUCUGGAAAGUGCAUCGUGAUGGGGAUCGAUUAUUGUAAUUAUUAAUCUUCAACGAGGAAUUCCUAGUAAGCAUGUGUCAUCAGCCCGCGCUGAUUACGUCCCUGCCCUUUGUACACACCGCCCGUCGCUCCUACCGAUUGAAUGUUCCGGUGAGCUCUUCGGACUGCGCGGUCUGCAGUUUCUGCGUUCCGUGCGGAAAGUUGCGCAAACCUUAACAUUUAGAGGAAGGAGAAGUCGUAACA